rnacentral:tRNA from 1 species
GCGGGGGUGUCCGAGCCUGGCCAAAUGGGCCCGGCGGGGCCUCAGGCCAGAGGAGGUGGGCUUAGGACCCACUGGCGUAGGCCUGCGUGGGUUCAAAUCCCACCCCCCGCA